AUUGAACGCUGGCGGAAUGCUUUACACAUGCAAGUCGAACGGCAGCACGGGUGCUUGCACCUGGUGGCGAGUGGCGAACGGGUGAGUAAUAUAUCGGAACGUAUCCAAUAAUGGGGGAUAACUAGCCGAAAGGUUAGCUAAUACCGCAUACGCCCUGAGGGGGAAAGCUGGGGAUCGUAAGACCUAGCGUUGAUGGAGCGGCCGAUAUCUGAUUAGCUAGUUGGUGGGGUAAGAGCCUACCAAGGCGACGAACAGUAGCUGGUCUGAGAGGACGAACAGCCACACGGGAACGGAGACACGGACCAGACUCCUACGGGAGGCAGCAGUGGGGAAUUUUGGACAAUAGAGGCAACCCUGAUCCAGCCAUUCCGCGUGAGUGAAGAAGGCCUUCGGGUUGUAAAGCUCUUUCGCAAGGGAAGAAAACUCGAUCUCUAGUAUAGGUUGAGGCUGACGGUACCUUGAUAAGAAGCACCGGCUAACUACGUGCCAGCCGCCGCAGUAA
rnacentral:rRNA from 1 species